ensembl:misc_RNA
UUAACAGUUCUUGAGAAUGAAGUCCCCUAUUUAUCCAUGGAACGGGUACAGCAUGGGCAGCAGUAAAAUAAUUGACCCAACAGUACCUCAGAGCUGGCCUGGGUGGGACCCCGCUAAGGUAGGAAGAUAAUUAAUUCUUCCUGUUCAUUCCAGCCGUUGGCUUCU